GACGAACGCUGGCGGCGUGCUUAACACAUGCAAGUCGAACGGAAAGGCCUUUUCGGAGGUACUCGAGUGGCGAACGGGUGAGUAACACGUGGGUGAUCUGCCCUGCACUCUGGGAUAAACCUGGGAAACUGGGUCUAAUACCGGAUAGGACCGCACUUUAGUGUGUGUGGUGGAAAGUUGUUUCGGUGUAGGAUGAGCCCGCGGCCUAUCAGCUUGUUGGUGGGGUAAUGGCCUACCAAGGCGGCGACGGGUAGCCGGACUGAGAGGUUGGUCGGCCACAUUGGGACUGAGAUACGGCCCAGACUCCUACGGGAGGCAGCAGUGGGGAAUAUUGCACAAUGGGCGCAAGCCUGAUGCAGCGACGCCGCGUGGGGGAUGACGGCCUUCGGGUUGUAAACUCCUUUCGCCAGGGACGAAGCGUUUUGUGACGGUACCUGGAGAAGAAGCACCGGCUAACUACGUG
rnacentral:rRNA from 1 species